UACGUAGGGUGCGAGCGUUGUCCGGAAUUAUUGGACGUAAAGGGCUCGUAGGCGGUUUGUCGCGUCGGGAGUGAAAACACACAGCUUAACUGUGUGCUUGCUUCCGAUACGGGCAGACUAGAGGUAUGCAGGGGAGAACGGAAUUCCUGGUGUAGCGGUGAAAUGCGCAGAUAUCAGGAGGAACACCGGUGGCGAAGGCGGGUCUCUGGGCCGAUACUGACGCUGAGGAGCGAAAGCGUGGGGAGCGAACAGG
rnacentral:rRNA from 1 species